GACGAACGCUGGCGGCGUGCUUAACACAUGCAAGUCGAACGGGAUCCAUCGCGAGCUUGCUCAAGAGAAGAUCUAGUGGCGAACGGGUGCGUAACACGUGAGAAACCUGCCCCAGACUUGGGAAUAACAGUCGGAAACGACUGCUAAUACCGAAUACCUUCGUAGCGUCGCAUGGCGCAUCGAAGAAAGCUUUUGCGGUUUGGGAGGGUCUCGCGGCCUAUCAGCUAGUUGGUGAGGUAACGGCUCACCAAGGCAUCGACGGGUAGCUGGUCUGAGAGGAUGAUCAGCCACACUGGGACUGAGACACGGCCCAGACUCCUACGGGAGGCAGCAGUGGGGAAUCUUGCACAAUGGGCGAAAGCCUGAUGCAGCAACGCCGCGUGCGGGAAGAAGGCCUUAGGGUUGUAAACCGCUUUCAGCAGGGAAGAAGCGAAAGUGACGGUACCUGCAGAAAAAGCACCGGCUAACUACGUGCCAGCAGCCGCGGUAAUAC
rnacentral:rRNA from 1 species